rnacentral:misc_RNA from 1 species
CCUCCUCGCUCAUGAAAACACGUGCUCUCAUUAUCAAUCUCUCCGAAACUCUCAAAUUCCUCACCGAUUUCCCCUUCAUUGGAUACAAAGGAGAGCGAUACUCGCCUUAUAGAUCCGUACAACCGCUCCGCAUCAAGAGGAACAGUGUUCCUUAUCAAGAGGUGACGAAACUCUUCCUCGAGCCUCGACAUAGCGACCUGGACAGCAGUCUCGGCCCGGUCAAUGAUCUCGUUAUCAGACCGG